rnacentral:lncRNA from 1 species
UAUUGUAGCUCUCAUUUUUGUAUAUAAUCCCACACUGGUAUAAAUGGAUACGUGUAUCUGCACUAACUUGCGCUCAACAGUGACGCAUCUUUCUACAGCUGAAGACAGCAUGAGGCAACCCCUUGGAAUGAAUCUCCUGGUGAUGGUUGCUACUGCAAUAGCUGUAAUCAUGAUGGCUCCAAAUGAAGCUUCCGCGCUCGGAGGAUAUGUCGGCGGAAGCGAUGCCAUCGAAUUUGGUCGUGAAGAAUGAUUCAUCGUUCGUCUUGUGGCACCCACGUGCACAGAGCAUCCAGAGAGAGCGCCACGUGUUGUGCAAUAGCAGUGUGCGUGGCCAACCUGCACUCUUCAUUGGGCCACCCUGCAUCAUGCCCUAGGAAGAGGUGUCUUGGCUGCCAUGACAAACGGAUGCUCUCACCCGCGCUUGUCGAUUGCUGUGACCCGGCGUCAUGGUCGCUUCCUAGGUAACCCUAGGCCAACCCUGCGCUAUGCCGUGUUUCGUGAAAUAAAUUGUUUGUUUUGACCUGAA